rnacentral:misc_RNA from 1 species
UCACGAAGGCAUCUCGCACAGCCGUGUAUGCAUCCGUCUGCAGCCGUGUCACGGCCGUCCCCGAAUCCACAAUCACACCCCCUGACCCGUUGUCGUCUACUGCGAAGGUGGAUGAAGGGAUCGACAGCAUUGCACCACCUACGCUGAUGCCAGUCAAGCCGACGUAAUAGAAUGUAUCAGAUUUUUGGUUGCGGAGCAGUGGCGCUGAGACAGCACCAUCAGAUUUAGUAUCUACUGAUCCAAUCUGAAGAGUGGAUGUUGCGGUGGAGUCACGAUCCACCAGGCAGUAAGAGAUGGAUUUUGCAGAGAUCUGAGAAGGAAAUGAGAGCGCACCGCCGCCGAGGCCAAGGAGGCCUGAGGCUCCGACGAAGAGGCCCUCAUUGUCGUGGCCACAGCCGAUGGCGACGCCUUCCACCGGUGCCGAGUUGCCAAAGGUGAGAGUCUCCUUAGCAAACUCGCCAACAGUAAAGGAGCCAUCGCCAUAGGCGACCUGAUAUAGG